rnacentral:rRNA from 1 species
GGACCCGCACAACCAGUGGAGCAUGUGGUUCAAUUCGAUACGAAGCGAAAAACCUUACCUGGGCUUGACAUGCUAGUUGCAUUCCGGCGGAAACGUUGGAGGCCUUCGAGGGUACUAGCAAAGCUGCUGCAUGGCUGUCGUCAGCUCGUGCCGUGAGGUGUUCCCUUAAGUGGGGUAACGAGCGCAACCCUCGUGCUGUGUUAAAUGUUCACAGCAGACUAUCCGUCUUUUUUGGCGGAUGGAAGCAGAGGAUGACGUCAAGUCAGCACGGCGCUUAUGUCCAGGGCAACACACAUCCUACAAUGGCGAAAAACAAUGAGUGGCCAAGCCGUAAGGCCGAGCUAAUCUCUGAAAUUUCGCCUCAGUUCAGAUUGUGGGCUGAAACUCGCCCACAUGAAGUCGGAAUUGGUAGUAAUCGCGGAUCAGCGGGCCGCGGUGAAUACGUUCUCGGGUCUU